rnacentral:rRNA from 1 species
UACGUAGGGUGCAAGCGUUAAUCGGAAUUACUGGGCGUAAAGCGUGCGCAGGCGGUUUUGUAAGACUGUCGUGAAAUCCCCGGGCUUAACCUGGGAAUGGCGAUGGUGACUGCAAGGCUAGAGUUUGGCAGAGGGGGGUAGAAUUCCACGUGUAGCAGUGAAAUGCGUAGAGAUGUGGAGGAACACCGAUGGCGAAGGCAGCCCCCUGGGCUAACACUGACGCUCAGGCACGAAAGCGUGGGGAGCAAACAGG